CGAAACAUGAAGUUGUUAAUAAUACACCGUAUUCUAUAAAUUUUGGAUGUGAAAUGAUUGUGGAUGGUAAUGAUUAUGAAUUAAUCAGGGAUAGAGAAAGUAUUGUGGAUGGAGUCAAGGAGAAACAAGGUAGUAAAGAGUCGGAAAAGCUAAUGAAGAUGGAAAAAUUGAGACUAUUCGUGAAAGAUAGGUUGAAAAAAGCUCAUGAAAAAACUAAACACGAUUAUAAUUUGCGGCAUAGACCUCAACAAUAUAGUGUAAAUGAUUUUGUUUGGGUAAAAUCACAUUUCUUGUCAUCCAGUAUAAAAGAUUUUUCAGCUAAAUUAGGUGAUAAAUUUUGUGGUCCAUAUAGAGUAUCGAAAAAGCUAGGGGUUAAUACAUAUGAACUUAGAGAUGAUUCAGGUGUUUCUAAGGGAAAUUGGCAUGUGUCUCAACUUAAGCCUGAUAAAACUCUUGAUGCUGGUCAGUGAUUGGGGUGAAGUUUUCUUCUCUCAUGUUGACUGUAUCGAUUAUUUGCUUGCUUUCUUUGGAAAAAAAUCUUCGAUUUUUUUUUUAUGGGAAGGGGAGGUAUGUUACGGUUUGAAUUUGAAUUUAAUUAUUUACAGUAUUCCUUAUAAUUUGUUCCUGUGGUUAAUGAUUUCUGUAACAGGAGGUAUGUUGCAUUGCCGGUAGAUGUCAUGUUAUAGCGUUAAAUUCAAACUUGCAUUUAAAACACAAAAAGUAACAUCAACACGUUCAGUUUUUUCAUUCAUUUUUUUGUAUCUCGGUUAUCAUUCAAUUUGAGUUCUUUUGAAAAUGCAUUUCGAAUAUCGUUCUUUUUCCAUCGUAGCCUCUCACAGAGUAACAACGAAAUUUUGGCGAGCAGUAGAGUUUAAAGUCGGCAUUUUUUGAAAUUUAUUAUGGUAGCUGAAUUAAUUUUUCUGCUAAGGCAAUAAUCAAUUUAAUUUGGAUAGCCUAGUCAAAUCAAGUAUUUAUUUUGUGAGCUACAAUUGAGUGAAAAUCCUCGACAACGAGGAUUUUUAUUAUAUGGUAAUUUUUUUUCUAUCGGACGUAUUGGUAUCAUUCAAGAUCUUCACGAAAAUUGCGAGUUAAUGGUGCAUACCUCCUGGGAAAAUUGUUCAAUUGGUCCUACAUUUGUUGCUAGAGAUUUUCAUACCGUUUCAUUUUGAGUCACUUGGUACAGUUGGCUUGGGGAGGAGAUUCACCCUAAUUUUAAGAUAAGUUCCUUCUCAUGGUUUUUUUUCUUCAUUGUUGAUUAGAUACAAUUUUGGAUAUAAUAUUAAAUUCACCUUUGGCACAUUUCCUUUUCUAAAUUUUUAUUAUAUUUUCUCAUAUUAACAUUACCAAUAUUUGAAUAUUGUAAUUUUCACAUUAUAUUCAGUAUAUUUAAUAUUCCAGAUUUGUAUUCGCAGUUCUCAAAGUUUAGUACUCAUAAUUUCAUAUUGUCUUAUAUUUCAACUUAUCCAAAUUGAGUAUCUUUUUUUAAAUUUUCUUAAUCGUAUAUUUUUCCAAAUUCAACUUCAUCCUUAUUCUUAGAGAUUACAUUCCAUAUUAGCUUGAUACUUUAAAUUUUUCAUCAUUCACAUUUUGACUGCUUUAACUAGAACUUCAUUAUCUAAAUUACUCAUUAGUGUAUAAUUGUCCUAAGUGCACGGUAUUGCAAUCUUUCGAUUCAGUCUAUUAGAACUAAGAAUUAUAUAUUUGUAAGAAACUUAUUAGAUUAUAGUUAUUGUUAUUUCAGAUUUAAAAA